rnacentral:misc_RNA from 1 species
GUGAAGGGGAAUUCUCACUUGAGGUGAAUUUUCAUAUUAAUUUGUGCAAUUAUUAGUGGAUAAGUUCCAACUUUUAAUGGAUUCUUCUUCUGUUGUACUCAUACAUAUAAGCCCUGGUUUUUAGCCAUUGCAUUGCUCUGUGUAUAGUUGCAUUCACAUAUUUCCAUGGCAUAUGUGCUUGAAUUUCUGUGCAUUCCAUGAUGAUUUGUAAUUAUACACUGAAUUUUAUACUGAAUCUUGGUUAGUCCACAUUUAUCUGAGCUACUCACCUGUCCUUUUGGUGAAAUGUUAG